ACGGGAACCCGCACAAGCGGUGGAGUAUGUUGUUUAAUUCGAAGAUACACGAAGAACCUUACCAGGUCUUGACAUACCAUUGACAGGCACAGAGAUGUGCUCUCCUUCGGGCAAUGGAUACAGGUGGUGCAUGGUUGUCGUCAGCUCGUGUCGUGAGAUGUUGGGUUAAGUCCCGCAACGAGCGCAACCCCUAUUGUUAGUUGCCAUCAUUCAGUUGGGCACUCUAGCGAGACUGCCGGUAAUAAACCGGAGGAAGGUGGGGAUGACGUCAAAUCAUCAUGCCCCUUAUGACCUGGGCUACACACGUGCUACAAUGGUUGGUACAACGAGUUGCGAGUCGGUGACGGCGAGCUAAUCUCUUAAAGCCAAUCUCAGUUCGGAUUGUAGGCUGCAACUCGCCUACAUGAAGUCGGAAUCGCUAGUAAUCGCGGAUCAGCACGCCGCGGUGAAUACGUUCCCGGGCCUU
rnacentral:rRNA from 1 species